rnacentral:tRNA from 1 species
GCUACUGAGGGAUAGCUCAGUUGGUAGAGCAUGAGACUCUUAAUCUCAGGAUCAUGGAUUUGAGCCCCAUGUCGGGCA